AGUUAAUAAAUUUUAGAGUAAAUAUAUACCUUGAAAGUAUAAUAAGAAAGUUCAAUUCUUUCAUUAACUU
rnacentral:tRNA from 1 species